CGUUCUCGGGCUCAAGAGGGUCAAUCGCAAAACCCUAUCUUCUUCCCCCCAUCUUCCCCAGCGACGGCACCAGGCCCCUCCGCCUCUCUCUCGUGCCCGCACCCGCAAGGAAGGAUGAGUAGGCGCUGGAGCCGGACUAUUUACGUAGGGAACCUCCCCGGUGAUAUCAGGGAGAGGGAGGUGGAGGAUCUCUUCUACAAGUAUGGACGGAUUGUUGAAAUCGACUUGAAGGUUCCCCCUAGGCCACCUGGCUUUGCUUUUGUGGAGUUUGAAGAUCCCCGAGAUGCUGAAGACGCGAUUCAUGGACGGGAUGGCUAUAAUUUUGAUGGAAAUCGGCUGAGGGUCGAACUUGCACAUGGCGGGAGGGCCAACUCUUCUUCGCUUCCAAACAGCUACGGUGGUGGAGGUGGAGGUGGAGGACGCCGUGGCGGUGUCUCUCGGCAUACAGAGUAUCGCGUUCUGGUUACUGGACUACCUUCUUCUGCAUCAUGGCAAGAUCUAAAGGACCAUAUGCGAAAGGCUGGUGAUGUCUGUUUCUCUGAGGUGUAUCGUGAGGGUGAUGGGACCACUGGAAUUGUGGAUUAUACAAACUAUGAUGACAUGAAGUAUGCUAUAAGGAAACUUGAUGAUAGUGAAUUUAGAAAUGCCUUUUCGCGGGCACCUAUAAGGGUGAAAGAGUAUGCUGGCAAACGCAGCUGCUCAUACUCACGAAGCCGUAGCAGAAGCCGGAGUCAGAGCUACAGCAGAAGCAGGAGUCCAAGCAAGUCUCCUAAGGCGAAACCAUCACGCCGUUCAGCAUCAAGAUCUCGAUCCAGAUCAGUUUCUUCCCAUCCACGGUCAGAGUCAAAGGGACGCUCUCCAUCAAGAUGAGGGAUUGUGCUGCGAUCUAGGGAUUGCGCAUUAGGAAAUUGAGGAUGGGGAUUUGGUCAAUUUGCACCAGCUCCAUUGGUUGACUGAGAGAUUGGGCAUAAGGAUUGGUUUGGAACUCUGGAAGUAGAGCAUUAAGGAUUGACGGUAUGGACUAUGACGGCACAUUGGGAUUUGCUCAGAUUUGAGUACAUGAGGAUUGUGAUCCUUUCUGGCUCCUUCACUGGCUUCAAAUCGGAGGGCUAUUCUAGCAUCACCAGCAAAAUCCCGAUCCCCUAUUGCUUCUCCUGCCAACGGUGCAGCAGCAAGCCCCAAGAAACGCAGCCCAUCACGCUCCCCAUCUCCUCCUGAUGCCAAAUCAGAAUAGAGCUGAUGUUCUGCUGGGUGGCGGGGUUGGAGCCAUGGUCCUCAAAACGCUUGGAUAUUUGUCGCCCUCGCCAACUUCGGAGCUCGCUGUUAAAGCACCUAGUUUUCCUAGGGCCCUGCGUGACAUUUCCUGUAAACGUAUUUGAAUGGGAACUUGAGAUUUAUGCACAAUUUCUUUAUGUUGACAAUUUACUUGGAUUAUCUAUGGUCGUAAGAAGACAUUUGAAAAAGAGUCAUACAUUCAUAA